rnacentral:rRNA from 1 species
UACGUAGGGUGCUAGCGUUGCCCGGAUUUAUUGGGCGUAAAGGGCGCGUAGGCGGCUCUGCACGUCCGUUGUGAAAUCGCCCGGCUCAACUGGGCGGGGUCAGCGGAUACGGCGGAGCUUGAGCAAGCGAGGGGGCAAUGGAAUUCCCGGUGUAGUGGUGGAAUGCGUAGAUAUCGGGAGGAACACCAGUGGCGAAGGCGGUUGCCUGGGGCUUUGCUGACGCUGAUGCGCGAAAGCCGGGGGAGCGAACAGG